rnacentral:rRNA from 1 species
UACGUAGGUGGCAAGCGUUGUCCGGAUUUACUGGGCGUAAAGAGCGCGCAGGCGGUCGUUCAAGUCGCGUGUGAAAGCCCCCGGCUCAACUGGGGAGGGUCACGCGAUACUGAUCGACUCGAAGGCAGGAGAGGGUAGUGGAAUUCCCGGUGUAGUGGUGAAAUGCGCAGAUAUCAGGAGGAACACCGGUGGCGAAGGCGGGUCUCUGGGCCGAUACUGACGCUGAGGCGCGAAAGCUAGGGGAGCAAACGGG